GUUGAUUGGUUCUUAACCGUCCCUACUCUGAAAUUAAGUCUGCAUAGAAAACAUAUGAACUAUUGGCAUAACAUCCUUAUGAUCAGAAUUCUUCACAGAGUAUGAGGAGCCAAGUAGCAAAGGAAGUUAUGGUGUUGUUGGUUAUGUUGAUACUCACACAGGUGAAAAGGAUGCAGUUAAGAAGAUAAAUGAUGCUUCGGACACGUCAAUGAUGCCGCUCGGGUUCUUUGAGAAAUCAAGCUUCUUCGCUUGCACAAGCAUCCUGAUAUUGUACAAAUCACACAUAUCAUGCUUCUUCCUCCUCCUAGAAGUGUUUUUAAGGAUAUUUGUGUUGUUUUUUGAGUUGAUGGAAUGUGAUCUUAAGUUUGACUAUAUUCAAGAUGUUUUUUGAGUUGA